CCUACGGGAGGCAGCAGUGGGGAAUAUUGGACAAUGGGCGAAAGCCUGAUCCAGCCAUGCCGCGUGUGUGAAGAAGGCCUUCGGGUUGUAAGGCACUUUCAGUGGGGAAGAAAGCCUUGGGGCUAAUACCCUCGAGGAAGGACAUCACCCACAGAAGAAGCACCGGCUAACUCCGUGCCAGCAGCCGCGGUAAUACGGAGGGUGCGAGCGUUAAUCGGAAUUACUGGGCGUAAAGCGCGCGUAGGCGGUCUGAUAAGCCGGUUGUGAAAGCCCCGGGCUCAACCUGGGAACGGCAUCCGGAACUGUCAGGCUAGAGUGCAGGAGAGGAAGGUAGAAUUCCCGGUGUAGCGGUGAAAUGCGUAGAGAUCGGGAGGAAUACCAGUGGCGAAGGCGGCCUUCUGGACUGACACUGACGCUGAGGUGCGAAAGCGUGGGUAGCAAACAGGAUUAGAUACCCCAGUAGUC
rnacentral:rRNA from 1 species